UCAACACCUCAAUAGCCCCCAGGUGGCGUCAGUGUCUUGAUGGGACGAAAUCCGCCAUUUUUCUUUCCGAGACCGUUAACAGUUAACACCGCACAGUCAGCCGCAUUAGGUUCUACAGGACGUCGAGUGCGAAAUUACUGUUCAACGUUCGCCACGUUAAACUUGAAAGAAAAUUGAUUGAAAUUGAGAGUUCCUUCAUGUAUCUUAAAAAGGUGAUAAGGACACUCCAUUCUCAGCACGUGAUCGAUCCUGUUCACCAUGCUGUUCACGUUUAGAUAAAUUUAUCUCGCCAGAAAGAUUCCGUGAAAAGGUUAUCCUAUCGAAACUCAAUUAUUUCUCUGAACAUCUUGCUCAAAAAUUGUAAUCUAUUUGUAUCCAGACUGAAGAACUGAAGAAACUUGAACAACUGAAAUAAU